rnacentral:lncRNA from 1 species
GAAUUGUUGACGCAGUUAAUGCACGUGAAACGCCGAUCUCCUUUGAUGAAAUUCAUGAAAAACUCAUCAACAAAGAAGCGUCUCUCCAACAAUCACAUGCACCACCAUCAUUCGGCCACCGCCAAUCCAGUAAAUCAACGCAACAAUCAUUCUUGGCGCCCUUCCACAAACACCAUUCAUAAUCAACAAUCCAAUGCUCCUCGUAAUGCUUGUCCUCCACCACGUCCGUAUCUUGGGCAUUGCCAAGGAUGUGGUGCUCAAGGACACACUGUCAAACGAUGCCCUAUUUAUCGACUUAUCAACACCCAAUCCUCAUUGGCUCCUUCAGCAACACGCCCACAGGCUCCACAUCAUGCUUCUUCUUUGCAACCGCAUGCAUACUUUGCAUCUCUUGACACCACUGACACCCUCACAUGGCUACUUGAUAGUGGGACAUCGCACCAUGUCACCACGGAUUUGAAUAAUCUUUCACUUCACACUCCUUAUGCAGGGUUGGAUGAUGUUAUGAUCAGCGAUGGCUCGAGUCUUCACAUUACCCAUACUGGUUCCACCACCCUUCAUACUCGUACUCGUACCUUUAAUUUACGUAAUAUUCUUUGCGUACCUAACAUGAAAAAGAACCUUAUUUCUAUCUAUCAAUUUUGCAAUACUAAUCAUGUUUCUAUUGAAUUCUUUCUCACUGCCUUUCAUGUAAAGGAUCUGAGCACGGGG